rnacentral:rRNA from 1 species
UACGGAGGGAGCUAGCGUUGUUCGGAAUUACUGGGCGUAAAGGGCGCGUAGGCGGCCGUUUGCGUCGGAUGUGAAAGCCCGGGGCUCAACCUCGGAACGGCAUUCGAUACGGGACGGCUGGAGACCGGGAGAGGAGAGUGGAAUAGCCAGUGUAGAGGUGAAAUUCGUAGAUAUUGGCUGGAACACCGGUGGCGAAAGCGGCUCUCUGGCCCGGUUCUGACGCUGAGGCGCGAAAGCGUGGGGAGCAAACAGG